rnacentral:rRNA from 1 species
UACAGAGGGUGCAAGCGUUGCUCGGAAUCAUUGGGCGUAAAGGGUAGGUAGGUGGUCUCAUUUGUCUGGGGUGAAAGCCUUGAGCUUAACUCGAGAAGUGCCCCGGAAACGGUGAGACUGGAGUCUUGGAGAGGUUAGCGGAAUUCCCGGUGUAGCGGUGAAAUGCGUAGAGAUCGGGAGGAGCACCAGCGGCGAAGGCGGCUAACUGGACAAGUACUGACACUCAACUACGAAAGCGUGGGGAGCAAACAGG